rnacentral:rRNA from 1 species
CGUACACUCCUACGGGAGGCAGCAGUGGGGAAUUUUGGACAAUGGGCGAAAGCCUGAUCCAGCCAUGCCGCGUGCAGGAUGAAGGCCUUCGGGUUGUAAACUGCUUUUGUACGGAACGAAACGGCCUUUUCUAAUAAAGAGGGCUAAUGACGGUACCGUAAGAAUAAGCACCGGCUAACUACGUGCCAGCAGCCGCGGUAAUACGUAGGGUGCAAGCGUUAAUCGGAAUUACUGGGCGUAAAGCGUGCGCAGGCGGUUAUGUAAGACAGUUGUGAAAUCCCCGGGCUCAACCUGGGAACUGCAUCUGUGACUGCAUAGCUAGAGUACGGUAGAGGGGGAUGGAAUUCCGCGUGUAGCAGUGAAAUGCGUAGAUAUGCGGAGGAACACCGAUGGCGAAGGCAAUCCCCUGGACCUGUACUGACGCUCAUGCACGAAAGCGUGGGGAGCAAACAGGAUUAGAUACCCUUGUAGUCCCA